rnacentral:rRNA from 1 species
AACGCUAGCUACAGGCUUAACACAUGCAAGUCGGGGGGCAGCGCAGUGUAGCAAUACAUGGGCGGCGACCGGCGCACGGGUGCGUAACGCGUAUCCAACCUUCCCGUUACUCAGGGAUAGCCUUCCGAAAGGGAGAUUAAUACCUGAUGGUAUUCAAAUUUCGCAUGUUAUUUGAAUUAAAGAUUUAUCGGUAACGGAUGGGGAUGCGUGACAUUAGGUAGAUGGCGGGGUAACGGCCCACCAUGCCUACGAUGUCUAGGGGUUCUGAGAGGAAGGUCCCCCACACUGGAACUGAGACACGGUCCAGACUCCUACGGGAGGCAGCAGUGAGGAAUAUUGGUCAAUGGUCGGAAGACUGAACCAGCCAAGUAGCGUGAAGGAUGAAGGUUCUAUGGAUUGUAAACUUCUUUUAUACGGGAAUAAAACCACCUACGUGUAGGUGCUUGUAUGUACCGUAUGAAUAAGCAUCGGCUAACUCCGUGCCAGCAGCCGCGGUAAUACGGAGGAUGCGAGCGUUAUCCGGAUUUAUUGGGUUUAAAGGGAGCGUAGACGGGGGAUUAAGUCAGUUGUGAAAGGCUGCGGCUCAACCGCAGCACUGCAGUUGAUACUGGUUUCCUUGAGUGCGGUUGAGGUGUAUGGAAUUCGUGGUGUAGCGGUGAAAUGCUUAGAUAUCACGAAGAACUCCGAUUG